UUCUCCUACGGGAGGCAGCAGUGGGGAAUAUUGCACAAUGGGGGAAACCCUGAUGCAGCGACGCCGCGUGAGUGAAGAAGUAUUUCGGUAUGUAAAGCUCUAUCAGCAGGGAAGAUAAUGACGGUACCUGACUAAGAAGCCCCGGCUAACUACGUGCCAGCAGCCGCGGUAAUACGUAGGGGGCAAGCGUUAUCCGGAUUCACUGGGCGUAAAGGGAGCGCAGGCGGCACGGCAAGUCUGGUGUGAAAACCCGGGGCUCAACCCCGGGACUGCAUUGGAAACUGCCGGGCUGGAGUGUCGGAGGG
rnacentral:rRNA from 1 species